UACGUAGGGUGCGAGCGUUUGUCCGGAAUUAUUGGGCGUAAAGAGCUUGUAGGCGGUUUGUCGCGUCUGCCGUGAAAAUCCGGGGCUCAACCCCGGACUUGCGGUGGGUACGGGCAGACUAGAGUGUGGUAGGGGAGACUGGAAUUCCUGGUGUAGCGGUGAAAUGCGCAGAUAUCAGGAAGAACACCAACGGCGAAGGCAGCUCGCUGGGACGGUACUGACGCUGAGACGCGAAAGCGUGGGGAGCGAACAGG
rnacentral:rRNA from 1 species